AGAUGGCGACCGACGCACGGGUGAGUAACACGUAUCCAACCUGCCGAUAACUCGGGGAUAGCCUUUCGAAAGAAAGAUUAAUACCCGAUGGUAUAAUCAGACCGCAUGGUUUGAUUAUUAAAGAAUUUCGGUUAUCGAUGGGGAUGCGUUCCAUUAGGCAGUUGGUGAGGUAACGGCUCACCAAACCUUCGAUGGAUAGGGGUUCUGAGAGGAAGGUCCCCCACAUUGGAACUGAGACACGGUCCAA
rnacentral:rRNA from 1 species